AAUUCUUCGUGAAGAUGCGAAGUACCAAUGGCUAGACGGUAAGACCCCAUGUACCUUAAUUAUAGUUUUGCAGUGACAACCUUAAUCUAAUAUGUAAGAUAGGUGGGAGAUGGUGACAAACAAUGACCAAUCCUAAAAGACCACUCUUUCAUCUAAGGAUACCUAACCACCGCACCAAUCAUUUUGGGGAAGGAGGGACAUUGCGAGGUGGGUAGUUUAUCUGGGGCGGAUGCCUCCUAAAGAGUAACAGAGGUGUGCGAAGGUAGGCUCAAGCUAAGAUUCUGCUCGUGAGUGUAAUGGUAUAAGCCUGCCUGACUGUGAGACCGACUAGUAGAACAGAGAUGAAAGUCGGCUAUAAUGAUCUGGGAGUCCCGUGUGAAAGGGAUCUCGCUCAACGGAUCAAAGGUACGCCAGGGAUAACAGGAUGAUGACUCCCAAGAGCUCUUAUCGACGGAGUCAUUUGAAACUUGAUGUCAACUCAUCACAUUCUAGGGUUGAAGAAGAUCCCAAGGGUUUGGUUGUUCGUCGAUUCAAGUGGUAUGUGAGUUGGGUUUAGAAUGUCGUGAGAUAGUUUGAUUCCUAUCUACCGUUGGUGUUAAAGAGAGAACUACGAAGAUCCUACCCUAGUAUGAGAGAACUGGGUUGGGCUAACCUAUGGUGUACCAGUUGUUAUGCCAAUAGCAGCGCCAGGCAGCUAAGUUGGUAUGGAAGAACUAUUGCACCGCGAGAAAUCCUUCUCUAUAUAAGUUCUCGAAUGAGGUUUUUGAACAGAACUUUGAUAGGCGAGAGGUGUAAGUACCGCGAGGUUUGAAGCGAUCUUGUACUAAAUGA
rnacentral:ncRNA from 1 species